GGGAAAGUGGCUCAGUGGUAGAGUGCUUGCCUUGCAAGCAUGAGGCCCUGGGUUUAAUUCUUCAGCACCA
rfam:Dipodomys ordii contig_59161, whole genome shotgun sequence.